GACGAACGCUGGCGGCGCGCCUAACACAUGCAAGUCGAACGAGCGAGAGAGAGCUUGCUUUCUCGAGCGAGUGGCGAACGGGUGAGUAACGCGUGAGGAACCUGCCUCAAAGAGGGGGACAACAGUUGGAAACGACUGCUAAUACCGCAUAAGCCCACGACCCGGCAUCGGGUAGAGGGAAAAGGAGCAAUCCGCUUUGAGAUGGCCUCGCGUCCGAUUAGCUAGUUGGUGAGGUAACGGCCCACCAAGGCGACGAUCGGUAGCCGGACUGAGAGGUUGAACGGCCCCUUUGGGACUGAGCCCCGGCCCAGACUCCUAGGGGGGGCAGCAUUGGGGAAUUUUGCACAAUGGGGGAAACCCUGAUGCAGCGCCGCCGGGUGGGGGAAAAAGGUUUUCGGUUUGUAACCCCCUUUUUUUGGGGAAGAAAAUGCCGGUACUCAACAAGGAAGUGCCGGCUACCUACU
rnacentral:rRNA from 1 species